GCGCACCAGGCGAGAAAACUUCAUACUGUGCGAAAGCACGAUGAGGGAAUCCCAAGUGCUUGCACGUAAGUGUAAGCUGUUUCUCUGUCUAAAACGCAGAGAGAGUAAGGGCUGGGUAAGACGGGUGCCAGCCGCCGCGGUAAUACCUGCAGCUCAAGUGGUGACCGCUAUUAUUGGGCCUAAAAACGUCCGUAGCCGGUUUAAUAAAUGCCUGGGUAAAUUGUGUAGCUUAACUAUACGAAUUCCGGGUAGACUGUUAAACUUGAGACCGGGAGAAGUUAGAGGUACUCCUGGGGUAGAGGUGAAAAUUCUGUAAUCCUAGGGGGACCACCAGUGGCGAAGGCGUCUAACUAGAACGGGUCUGACGGUGAGGGACGAAGCCCUGGGGCGCAAACGGGAUUAGAUA
rnacentral:rRNA from 1 species